rnacentral:misc_RNA from 1 species
GAUGAAGAACGUAGCGAAAUGCGAUAAGUAAUGUGAAUUGCAGAAUUCAGUGAAUCAUCGAAUCUUUGAACGCACAUUGCGCCCGGCAGUACUCUGCCGGGCAUGCCUGUUCGAGCGUCAUUUCAACCCUCAAGCCCUGCUUGGUGUUGGGGUCCCACGGCCGCCGUGGGCCCUGAAAGGAAGUGGCGGGCUCGCUACAACUCCGAGCGUAGUAAUUCAUUAUCUCGCUUAGGGCGUUGGGCGGCGCUCCUGCCGUUAAAGAACCAUCUUUAACUCAAGGUUGACCUCGGAUCAGGUAGGAGUACCCGCUGAACUUAAGCAUAUCAAUAAGCGGAGGA